AAGAGUUUAAGAAAAAAAGACUUUAAAGGCUUUAAAAUUUAUGAAAACCAAAAAUGUUUGAUUGGGUUAAAAAAACUUUUAAAACUUCUAAAAACUUCUUAAAGUCUUAAAAGUCUAAUCCAAUCACCCCGUCUAUCUUUCUUUUCUCCAAAUUGUUUGUUAAAAUUUCAAGAUUCUUGCCUUCAACAAUCAUCGGAAAGAAAAAAAGAUUAUUUUCCCUCAUAUUUUCUACCCAAUAGUACAAUGACACGUAUGAGUCUCUUACAAACUCUAAAAACUUUAAUUUAAGGAUCGUCCCUUACAUUAAUUAUCAGUUUUGAUUUAUUUUUUAACUUUUUCGUAAGAAUUUUAUGCUUAAAGACUCCUAUAGAAAUAUUAUUGGAGGUGGUCUUAGGUUCUUAGCACGCACAAUCAAAAACAAACAAAUCCAAAUGAGAAAGUUUAUUUGUCUCUAAAUUUGUUGAAAACCAUGUUUCGACCCUCCAAGAAAGACCAAGGUAAUUAAGGAUAUUGAGUUUAUAUUUCUCUAUAGUUUCACUAAUUACUAUAAAAUCUUAGUAUUCAUCCAUCUCGUUUUCUAUAUUGCAGAAGCGAAGACGACAUUGUUAUGGGACAUUGACGAUUGCCCGAGUCCAGAUGUUAUCCAAUUUGGUGCUAUUCAUGCACAUUUUAUGAUUCUCUUCGUUUUCAUGGUUCACACUCUAUUAUUGCUUAUGGUGAUGCGAAAAGGCUUUUAGAUGAUGCAAGACCAAACAUAAUUGAGUUCAAUCAAGUACCUUUAGGUAAAUUUUAUUCCACACUCUCUUGAUCGUUCUAGUACUUUGUGUCUUGAAUCUUAACUCUGUUUAUACGUAUAUACUAGCAAGUUGUCCACAAUGAGUGAAUUAUAUAUAUUCAGUUUUAUUUUUGAAUAUGGAAUGAUAUUUACAUAAAAUUAUAUAUAUAAUUUAUCUAUAAUUGUUAAUAUAACGCUCGAAAAUAAUU
rnacentral:sRNA from 1 species